AGAGUUUGAUCCUGGCUCAGGAUGAACGCUAGCUACAGGCUUAACACAUGCAAGUCGAGGGGAAACGAUAUUGGAAGCUUGCUUCCGAUAGGCGUCGACCGGCGCACGGGUGAGUAACGCGUAUCCAACCUGCCCAUCACUUGGGGAUAACCUUGCGAAAGUAAGACUAAUACCCAAUGACGUCUCUAGAGGACAUCUGAAAGAGAUUAAAGAUUUAUCGGUGAUGGAUGGGGAUGCGUCUGAUUAGCUUGUUGGCGGGGUAACGGCCCACCAAGGCGACGAUCAGUAGGGGUUCUGAGAGGAAGGUCCCCCACAUUGGAACUGAGACACGGUCCAAACUCCUACGGGAGGCAGCAGUGAGGAAUAUUGGUCAAUGGACGAGAGUCUGAACCAGCCAAGUAGCGUGCAGGAUGACGGCCCUAUGGGUUGUAAACUGCUUUUAUAAGGGAAUAAAGUGAGUCUCGUGAGACUUUUUGCAUGUACCUUAUGAAUAAGGACCGGCUAAUUCCGUGCCAGCAGCCGCGGUAAUACGGAAGGUCCGGGCGUUAUCCGGAUUUAUUGGGUUUAAAGGGAGCGUAGGCCGGAGAUUAAGCGUGUUGUGAAAUGUAGAUGCUCAACAUCUGAACUGCAGCGCGAACUGGUUUCCUUGAGUACGCACAAAGUGGGCGGAAUUCGUGGUGUAGCGGUGAAAUGCUUAGAUAUCACGAAGAACUCCGAUUGCGAAGGCAGCUCACUGGAGCGCAACUGACGCUGAAGCUCGAAAGUGCGGGUAUCGAACAGGAUUAGAUACCCUGGUAGUCCGCACGGUAAACGAUGGAUGCCCGCUGUUGGUCUGAAUAGGUCAGCGGCCAAGCGAAAGCAUUAAGCAUCCCACCUGGGGAGUACGCCGGCAACGGUGAA
rnacentral:rRNA from 1 species